UCCUCGGUGGCGCAAUUGGCUAGCGCGUCGUAAGUUAUCUUCAGACAAGCAAACAAUCGACUUAGUGUCUAACAAUAUUACAGUGACUGUUAAUCAGGAGGUUGAAAGUUCGAGCCUUUCCCGGGGAG